GUAAACGGCGGCCGUAACUAUAACGGUCCUAAGGUAGCGAAAUUCCUUGUCGGGUAAGUUCCGACCUGCACGAAUGGCGUAAUGAUGGCCAGGCUGUCUCCACCCGAGACUCAGUGAAAUUGAACUCGCUGUGAAGAUGCAGUGUACCCGCGGCAAGACGGAAAGACCCCGUGAACCUUUACUAUAGCUUGACACUGAACACUGGUCCUUGAUGUGUAGGAUAGGUGGGAGGCUUUGAAGUGUGGACGCCAGUCUGCAUGGAGCCAACCUUGAAAUACCACCCUUUAAUGGCUGGUGUUCUAACGUAGACCCGUAAUCCGGGUUGCGGACAGUGUCUGGUGGGUAGUUUGACUGGGGCGGUCUCCUCCUAAAGAGUAACGGAGGAGCACGAAGGUUAGCUAAUCCUGGUCGGACAUCAGGAGGUUAGUGCAAAGGCAUAAGCUAGCUUGACUGCGAGAGUGACGGCUCGAGCAGGUGCGAAAGCAGGUCUUAGUGAUCCGGUGGUUCUGAAUGGAAGGGCCAUCGCUCAACGGAUAAAAGGUACUCCGGGGAUAACAGGCUGAUACCGCCCAAGAGUUCAUAUCGACGGCGGUGUUUGGCACCUCGAUGUCGGCUCAUCACAUCCUGGGGCUGAAGUAGGUCCCAAGGGUAUGGCUGUUCGCCAUUUAAAGUGGUACGCGAGCUGGGUUUAGAACGUCGUGAGACAGUUCGGUCCCUAUCUGCCGUGGGCGCUGGAGAAUUGAGGGGGGCUGCUCCUAGUACGAGAGGACCGGAGUGGACGCAUCACUGGUGUUCGGGUUGUCAUGCCAAUGGCAUUGCCCGGUAGCUAAAUGCGGAAGAGAUAAGUGCUGAAAGCAUCUAAGCACGAAACUUGCCCCGAGAUGAGUUCUCCCUGACCCUUUAAGGGUCCUGAAGGAACGUUGAAGACGACGACGUUGAUAGGUCGGGUGUGUAAGCGUAGCGAUACGUUGAGCUAACCGAUACUAAUGAACCGUGAGGCUUAACCUU
rnacentral:rRNA from 1 species